rnacentral:rRNA from 1 species
UUGUACCUACGGGACGCAGCAGUGGGGGAUAUUGCACAAUGGGGGAAACCCUGAUGCAGCGACGCCGCGUGAGUGAAGAAGUAUUUCGGUACGUAAAGCUCUAUCAGCAGGGAAGAAUAAUGACGGUACCUGACUAAGAAGCCCCGGCUAACUACGUGCCAGCAGCCGCGGUAAUACGUAGGGGGCAAGCGUUAUCCGGAUUUACUGGGUGUAAAGGGAGAGUAGACGGAAGUGCAAGUCUGAAGUGAAAUGACGGGGCUCAACCCCGGAACUGCUUUGGAAACUGAACAGCUAGAGUGCAGGAG